rnacentral:tRNA from 1 species
UGGGUUGUAGCUCAGUGGCAGAGUGCUUGCCUAGCAUGCAUGAGGCACUGGGUUUGAUCCUCAGCACCACAU